GCUUACGGCCAUAUCAGCCUGGGUACGCCCGAUCUCGUCUGAUCUCGGAAGCUAAGCAGGGUCGGGCCUGGUUAGUACUUGGAUGGGAGACCCCUGGGAAUACCAGGUGCUGUAAGCA
rnacentral:rRNA from 1 species